rnacentral:rRNA from 1 species
UACAGAGGUCCCAAGCGUUGUUCGGAUUCAUUGGGCGUAAAGGGUGCGUAGGCGGCGCGGUAAGUCGGGUGUGAAAUCUCGGGGCUUAACUCCGAAACUGCAUUCGAUACUGCCGUGCUUGAGGACUGGAGAGGAGACUGGAAUUCCCGGUGUAGCGGUGAAAUGCGCAGAUAUCGGGAAGAACACCCGUGGCGAAGGCGGUUCUCUGGGACGGUACUGACGCUGAGACGCGAAAGCGUGGGGAGCGAACAGG